AUGGAGGUGACUCCUGGGUACAAGAUACCCACUCAGCAUAUACACAAACGGGAGUGUAGGUGGUGGAGCACGAGUGGUAGCAAAUUAUGCUUUCAGAAAGUUAAUCAGUGUGGUCCUUCUUCCUUCCAGAAAUAUCCAACAGCCUCACCUUUCUUCUGGAAUCCAAAUGACAGAACUCCCAGGACCAAUUAUCUCUCAGUCUUUCUCUCUCUGAAUGUGUGGGUUGUCUUAGCUAAUCAGAAAACUACAAGAUGUAUCAUUUACAGCUUGUACACAGAUCCUGAAGGUAAUUUUAAGCACAAUACUUUCAAUAAUUCUGAGCAUGAAACAAAGUUUGUGUACACUGAAACCAUAAUAAAGCGAGGCUGUACCUAUCUCAGGAACCAUGUUGAAGCAUUUUGGAUUUCAAAAUUCCAGAUAAGGGAUACUCAACCUAUAACAUGCCGAAAUGCCUGGCUAAUUCCUAUCAGUAAGAUAUUUUGGGAGAGGUAGCCAUUAAGGUUUCCUCUUCAUGAGGAUACAUGGUUGACCAAUUCAAGAGGCCAGAACCAGAAGAAGGGUGUGAUAAAAGAGAUCAGCAAGACUUCUGCUUUUCUCUUUUUCCUUUGUAUUAAUAUAAAUAUAGACUAUUUCAAAGCACAAAAAACAUGAAAAAGUCCAGGACUCCAGAAGGAUGCAUGAUUUUAUUUCUCCUGGCAUGCAAUCUUGAUUGAAACAUUAGAAUAACCAGUGACCAUACAUUUUAAUUCAGAACAUGAUAGCCUUUCUAGUUUGUUGGUGAACAGAUGCAAGAGUAUUAGAGGAAAAGGGGAAACAUUUGGAUUAACCACCUGAGAUCCUGAAGCCAUAUAGUCAAAAGGAUUGCAUAGUACCACUGGGCUGCUAUUUGAUCCCUUGCAGAAGAAAUGUAUAUUAUAUUCCCAUUGCUUAGCAAGUGGGGUCAGUCAGGUUUGAUUGAAAGGGCAGCAAAAGAUCUUUUAAGGGAGGGGCCCACAAUGACUCUUUUCUUUCAACAGCAUCUUCCUUUGACUACACAUAUUAUUAACAGGAUUUCAUCCAUAAAGCUGGCAUUUUGGUUCAUUGUGACCUUAACCUGGAAAAUGGCAUCUAAUAUCAUCCACUGACUUUGGAAUACCCCAUCUUCUCUACAUUCUGUUACAGCUACCUUGGGAAAAGCUUACUUGCAUUCAGAACAGCUGGAAAAGGUGAGAACUGAAAUAUUUUGCCGUUAUAUUCAAGCACCUUUCCUUUAGCAAGCACUGUGGUAAAUUUAGAUAUAAAUAACUGUGUACCCAUAGCUUUCCAUAAGGCUCAUUUACUAUUACAAGGUGCUAAAGAUGGUCAUAACAUAUGCUGCUCAGUUUCUGGUGAUAGGAAUGCCUUCUGGCCUACAAUUAAGACACAGUCCCAGGACUACCGAGAGCUCGUUAGUAGUGUUGUUUUCAUUUGAACAGCAACCCUCAACAACACGCUUGAAGCUGGUUAACCCUGACUAAUAGAGAAACAGGUUUUACAUGUUGCAGAUGUCUCUGAAAUACAUAACUAGUUUUUAAGUGGGGGAAACCCCCAGAUAUUGUUUUCCAAACAUUGGAAAUUCUGUUACAGACUGACAGGAGGUGGCUUCCACAAAUCUUAGAAUGAUCCUAUGCACAAUAUUACAGUGUGUUGAUUCAGAGUCAAAUUAGAAAACAAAAACAAAAAACCAGGAAUUGAGGUGGCCUGGAAAUUAUCAGGAUAUUGAGAAGCGGAGUGGGAGAAAUAUCACAUGCUUUCCCCAUUGCUAUAGAAAUAGUGGUAAUGAAGAACAAGUUUAGUAAGGACCAACUCUAAGACUAAAGCACACUAUCUAUCCAAAAUCUGACUUGAUGAUGUCCCAUUUGCUUGAACAAACAAGUUAAGCACAUCCUUAAACUAUUACUCACAAAAGCUAACUGUUAUUGCAAGCUGGAUAGAAUAAUUAGGAAAGAAUUCAAGGAGAAAUGGAAGAAUGGCACAAUUGUUUCUAAUAUUGAUUUGUUAACAUGGAGAAAUACCAAACCUAUUCCUUAUUUAAUCCUUAUCUCUUCCCAGAUCAUAACAUUCUGCACUGGUUGUAUUUCUUUCUGAUAAGACAUAUCAGCUUUGGUCAAAAAUAAAAGCAAGUUGCCAUCUGUAUUAAGAGGGUAAAGAUAUCUCUUUAACUUCAGCUCACAGACCGUGUAAACCAGUUUCCAUGCAUGGGGAGCAGGCUGCAUGUGUGUGAGAGGAUGGAGGUAUGUGAAAGAGACUUAACUGAGAUUUGGUACAGUUUUUAAUCUAUAUUUUGGAAUUCUUUUUUAAAUACUUCCUUUUGUCAGUUCAAAAUAGGGUGUCAUAAAAUCCAAACAAAGGGAAACUGGCAUGAGUGGGAUACCAGCUUAAACAUUAGUAAAUGCACAAUCCCGAGGAGAGUGAUUUGUGAAUGGUGUGGCCUUAUCUUGUCCUUCCCUGUGCCUUUCCCUGCUUUGCUGAUAUGACAGUUGGCUGCCACAGUGUCACGAGAUGAAGAAACUGUUGAGAGCUCGCCUGAUGGUCAUCCAAUUUAUAUUUGAAUUGUGAGCAACAGACGUUACCUAAUGCUGUGAGCAUGACCAUAAAUCAGUGCAAGUCAGAUGGAACAAACAUGGUCAGUCUGCUCUUUGUUUCCAGGUGUUAAAUCAUUCCUCAACUUGUCCUCCCGAUACUGACAGUAGAGCUGCUUUCUUAAUAACAAAUAGUUCCAAGGGACAAAAUUGUACACCUUCUCUAUACUAUUUAUUUGAAAAGGGAAAGGGGGGAAGAUGUGUUUUGCAUAAAUCAAGAGGUAUAUAAAUACAACGUAAAUCCUCAUCCAGAAUGGAGUCAUCCCCUUGGUCUGCUCUUCUGAAGGUUUUGCUUCCACUCUUCCUGUGAAUAAGAUUGGUGACUUGAUCAAUCUCUAUGUUAUCCAAACAUUUCAGUCAUUGUUCUUGAACCAAUGGACUCUGAAGAUAUUUUACCCACAUAUUCCUGUGUUUUGCCAACAUAUUCCUUUUUGCUAAAAUAAGUACAUUAUUAUCAUAGUGUCAUAAUAUGUAUUAGAACUAUUACUCCAAAUGACUGGAAUUCACAUUCACAGUUAUAAAUGUGCAGUUUUGAGUUACACAUUUGUAGUUGAUUCAUAUUUACAAUCUCUAUGUAUCCAAUAACAUAGGGAAUAUAUAGUGCUCAUAAAAAGUCUCCUAAUCCUAACUUACUGGGCAGCAGCUGUUGUGAGCACUGGGCAUCUGUUCUCCUGUUGAUUGGGACACAGCAGAAUGACAUUCUCACUUGCCUCCUUGUACAAAGAGAAAUUGACAGAUGUCCUGCUUCUAGCUUCCACAAUGGAGAUCGCUUGAGAUAGGAACAUGAAAAUGUCAGUUACAUCUCAAUAGAAAGAGGAAUAGACCUUUACUGCUCACAGCAACUGCUUCCUGGUAAAUAAAAAUUGGAGUGUUCAGGUGAAGAGAUGCUGCUUAGCUAUGUAACUAAAGUAAUUGUGCUUAGAAUACUCACUAGUUUUGUUAAAACACGAAGGGAAAUCCAGCACAAAAGUAAAUCCUAGAAUGGGGAAAAUAUAUUUUAUAUUUGCCUCCCAUUAUUCUUAUCAGGUUGGCAGCUCCAUUGCAAUCCUAUAUAACUCCACAUUUGCAACAUUUUGAAUUUGUGAUAGCAAACAUCCUAUUAAGUCCUAUUUUCAUGUACCACCUAAAAGGCCAUUUAUUUUGGUAGCUAGCACUGCACAGUUGGAGCAGUCUGACACCAUUUCAACAGUUUUGGCUCUGUUCUAUGGAAUUCUGGGAUUUGUAGUUUUCUAGUUAUGCAUUCCUCCUGAAGUGCAACCUUAGAGUUAUGUCACAAAGAAUUUUAAGUACUUCAUGAAACUACAAAUCUCGGGGUUCCAAAAGAUGAAGUGAUGACAAUUAAAAGUACUAGUAACUAGAUUGUCUAGUAUGGAUACAACUUGCAUUUUGUCCUCCCCUGGUUUAGAAACUUAAUUUCUGUUUUGACAUUUCUGGACUGGGAACUGAAUUGCUUACUUUUGAGUCAAUCACAAUUUAUUGUAUCAUUACAUCUUCAGCUCGAUUAAACAGGAUUUAUAAUACAAAUAGGUUUGUAUGCCAGAAAUACUGUUCUAUAUGUGUUUCCCCCUCUUUGGUAUAUUUGUCAACAUACCCAAAAUGAUUUAGCAACAGAUGAUUGAAAAUGUGUUUCAGACUAUGUGUUUCAAUCUUUGAUGUCACUGCUUAAAAUUCAGCAAUACUGAAUGCUUCAGUGCUGCAUUUCUAUGCCUGUUGCCAAUGGAGUUCCCAGUUUCUCCUUCUGUCUUUGGCUCAUUUCAGUAGUUUGCAUAGAUAACUCAGGAUAGAAAGGAACAUACAAACUUUUGCCCUUCCCAAGAGGCUCCAGCAAAAUCAAACUCCUACAUCAGUUCCUAGCUUGUGUGCUCUUCCUUAUUUAUGACUUUCUCACAUUCUUCACCUUCUGAUCUUUCUUGAAUACACAUGUGAUGGUUUUCAUCUGUGAAAUGCUAGAGAUCAUGUGCCUAACUUGUAAAUAUAUAUCUUUAAGUAGACCAUAUAUUGAAACAUUACUACCAGCUUCCAGGGACAUGAUUUCAAGGAUAUCCUGGGAAAGAGUUAUGCCUGUAGGUAUCACCAUUGGAGAAUCAAGAUGCCAUGAGAACUUGACAACAUACAUCUGAAAUCUUUGCAAGCAAAUUCAAAUAAUGAAAAAUGGGCUCUGAGAUUCCCUCCCUCAAACUCAUUUCAGUUUCCAUCUCUUCUGCUAAAGUUUCUCAUUUAUGUUCCAGUCAUUUCUGGUCUUGAUUACUAUAAUCUCCUCUUCAAGGCUCUCUCAGAAUCUCGUCUUUCUUUUCCAAUCAAUUGAGAAUGUCUUAGCCAAAAUAAUAUUUCCUGUUCAUUUAAACUGAUCACGCUAUGCCCCACUGCACACUCAUACCAUCAGUUAUUAAGGAUGUAAUAAUAUGCAUCUUUUUGUGGGAGACGUCUCUACUGAAUCCAUUAUGCAAGGAGUGGGCAACUACCUGAGAUACACAUGGGAUCUUGGAGGGCACCACCUCCGACAGCAAUCUCACCACACAUUAUUCAUUUUUAAAUGAAAAAUAGGAACUUUUUUUGUACUCAAAAUGUCCCUGACUUUGUCUAGAGGACAUGAGCAUUACUGUUAUCAUUUUUUCCCCCUCUAGACUGUGUUAAGCCUCCAAGAGGCCACAUACAAUGUUUUAAAAAUUCUCUUUCAAAGGUAAAACAGCCCAGGAAGACCAAAAAACAUGGCAACCUUUUUCUUACACCUUUAAGGAUGACAUUGCAGGGCAGGAACUAGAUUAGACACCCUAGGAUUCCCUGGCGGGCUGCACCUCCCUGCAAAAAAAGACAAAAAACAAAUCUAAAAACAGGCAUUGUUUGUACUUUUUG
ensembl:lncRNA